rnacentral:rRNA from 1 species
AGCUUGCUGGGCGGAUUAGUGGCGAACGGGUGAGUAAUACGUGAGUAACCUGCCCUUGACUCUGGGAUAAGCCUGGGAAACUGGGUCUAAUACUGGAUACUACCUUCCACCGCAUGGUGGGUGGUGGAAAGGGUUUUACUGGUUUUGGAUGGGCUCACGGCCUAUCAGCUUGUUGGUGGGGUAAUGGCUCACCAAGGCGACGACGGGUAGCCGGCCUGAGAGGGUGACCGGCCACACUGGGACUGAGACACGGCCCAGACUCCUACGGGAGGCAGCAGUGGGGAAUAUUGCACAAUGGGCGGAAGCCUGAUGCAGCGACGCCGCGUGAGGGAUGACGGCCUUCGGGUUGUAAACCUCUUUCAGUAGGGAAGAAGCGAGAGUGACGGUACCUGCAGAAGAAGCGCCGGCUAACUACGUGCCAGCAGCCGCGGUAAUACGUAGGGCGCAAGCGUUGUCCGGGAAUUAUUGGGCGUAAAGAGCUCGUAGGCGGUUUGUCGCGUCUGCUGUGAAAGCCCGGGGCUCAACCCCGGGUCUGCAGUGGGUACGGGCAGACUAGAGUGCAGUAGGGGAGACUGGAAUUCCUGGUGUAGCGGUGAAAUGCGCAGAUAUCAGGAGGAACACCGAUGGCGAAGGCAGGUCUCUGGGCUGUUACUGACGCUGAGGAGCGAAAGCAUGGGGAGCGAACAGGAUUAGAUACCCUGGUAGUCCAUGCCGUAAACGUUGGGCACUAGGUGUGGGGGACAUUCCACGUUUUCCGCGCCGUAGCUAACGCAUUAAGUGCCCCGCCUGGGGAGUACGGCCGCAAGGCUAAAACUCAAAGGAAUUGACGGGGGCCCGCACAAGCGGCGGAGCAUGCGGAUUAAUUCGAUGCAACGCGAAGAACCUUACCAAGGCUUGACAUUCACCGGACCGCCCCAGAGAUGGGGUUUCCCUUCGGGGCUGGUGGACAGGUGGUGCAUGGUUGUCGUCAGCUCGUGUCGUGAGAUGUUGGGUUAAGUCCCGCAACGAGCGCAACCCUCGUUCUAUGUUGCCAGCACGUGAUGGUGGGGACUCAUAGGAGACUGCCGGGGUCAACUCGGAGGAAGGUGGGGAUGACGUCAAAUCAUCAUGCCCCUUAUGUCUUGGGCUUCACGCAUGCUACAAUGGCCGGUACAAAGGGUUGCGAUACUGUGAGGUGGAGCUAAUCCCAAAAAGCCGGUCUCAGUUCGGAUUGAGGUCUGCAACUCGACCUCAUGAAGUCGGAGUCGCUAGUAAUCGCAGAUC